rnacentral:lncRNA from 1 species
GGAUAUUGAGGUGUUGUGGAGCCCUCAAAGCGAAGGUGACACAAUAUCAAAGCAAGAACUCCGUAGAGAUUUCCCGCACAUGAGCACAUGUUAUGGAAAAGAGAAAAAAAUUCCGCACAAAUGGUCAUUAGAAGAGGCGGGAAUAUAGUUGGAAAAUCAUAUUAGAACCCCAACUUAACUAGAUCAUCCAUUGGGUUGGAUGGAUAUCAUCUAUAUUUUAUUUUAUAUAUUAUUUAUAGCGCUCACAUUUAUAACA